CAGCCGCCGCGGGAAUACAGAGGCCUCAAGCGUUGUUCGGAUUCAUUGGGCGUAAAGGGUGCGUAGGUGGCUUGGUAAGUUGAAGGUGAAAUCUCGGGGCCUAACCCCGAAACUGCCUUCAAUACUGCUAGGCUCGAGGACUGUAGAGGAGAAUGGAAUUCACGGUGUAGCAGUGAAAUGCGUAGAUAUCGUGAGGAAGACCAGUGGCGAAGGCGAUUCUCUGGGCAGUUCCUGACACUGAGGCACGAAGGCCAGGGGAGCAAACGGGAUUAGAUACCCCGGUAGUCCCUGUCUCUUAUAC
rnacentral:rRNA from 1 species